UUGCUUCAGUAGCACAUAUACUAAAGUUGGAACAAUAGAGAGAUUGGCGUGGCCUCUGUGCAAGAAUGACGUGCAAAUUUGUGAAGUGUUCCGUAUGUUU
ensembl:snRNA U6 U6 spliceosomal RNA